ensembl:lncRNA D21S2088E D21S2088E
UGAGCCAGAAUUCUAACUGAGGUAGUCAGGUUCCAGAGAAGCCGCAUCACUUCUCACUAAACGAAAUGUCUUUUUUGAAAAUUCUAAAUUCACUAUUGUGAGUCAAUGACUAUAUUAAUUACACUGAAAGCUACAUAGCAGAAGGCUGCUGACUAACUUAAUGAACUGAACGGAUUAAAAUGGUGCAAGAGAAAAGGGCAUUUUUACACAAAAGGAAGCAUUUUCUGUGUUCCAGUUCAGCUGUUCCAAUGACAUUUGGUGGUGUUAUCAGUGUGAAUUAUACAAGCAAGUUUCUUUAUCCAGACUGACGCAUCAACCAUGAUCUAGCAUUUGCAAGAUGUGUAAUUACUUUGACUUUCAAGAAAACAUCUUCUGAUCUAAGGAACUUCCCAAGAUAUCAAAGCUGGCUGGCUCAGGAAUACUCUCACAGUGAUGGCAGAAGAGCAAAUCUGGAAGUUCAAACACUCAAAUGUGUUGUUGGAUUUCUGCAUGCAUCACAUGGGCUAACAACUGGUCAAAGCAAAUCACAUGGCCAAACUAAAAAUCAAAGGCCUGGAAGACAGACAAAGUGCUAUAUUGAAGGUUACAGAAGAAUAAAGAAGUUCUGAAUAGAACAGAAGCUUUCAUAAGGCAGGGGUUAUAACGACCAACAGAGACUCCACAAAACCAUUUACUCACAAGAGAAAAUAUGGCACGGAUUGGAUUAGAAGUGGAAAGACUAAUGCAUUUUUGUCCAUAAGGAUUAGAAGAAAAAUGGUUCUCUCAGCUCUGCAAGUGAGCACAACAAGCAAUCCAAAAGCAUUAUUUGUGUGAAGCAGUUUGUAGAAUUUGUUCCAUUUGUCACUAGAACUAGUGUUUGAAGCUCAGCAAAAGUUGAGUUAUGGUUAAGCCCCAGGGUCAGUGGCCACGUGUUCAGAGUAGUACCUUAGGUUUAAAGCUGAUUCACAACCUGAAAAACACUCAGUGGUGUUCUCUCCCAAAUUAUCAAUCAUUACCUUGUGGUGUUUUAAAAAGAGGAUAGAAGAUUGCUUGACCAGAAAAUAAUGACAAUAAAAAGGAAAUUAUAUAUAG